rnacentral:rRNA from 1 species
UUGAACGCUGGCGGCAGGCCUAACACAUGCAAGUCGAGCGGAUGAAGGGAGCUUGCUCCUGGAUUCAGCGGCGGACGGGUGAGUAAUGCCUAGGAAUCUGCCUGGUAGUGGGGGAUAACGUCCGGAAACGGGCGCUAAUACCGCAUACGUCCUGAGGGAGAAAGUGGGGGAUCUUCGGACCUCACGCUAUCAGAUGAGCCUAGGUCGGAUUAGCUAGUUGGUGGGGUAAAGGCCUACCAAGGCGACGAUCCGUAACUGGUCUGAGAGGAUGAUCAGUCACACUGGAACUGAGACACGGUCCAGACUCCUACGGGAGGCAGCAGUGGGGAAUAUUGGACAAUGGGCGAAAGCCUGAUCCAGCCAUGCCGCGUGUAUGAAGAAGGUCUUCGGAUUGUAAAGCACUUUAAGUUGGGAGGAAGGGCAGUAAGUUAAUACCUUGCUGUUUUGACGUUACCAACAGAAUAAGCACCGGCUAACUUCGUG